rnacentral:lncRNA from 1 species
AUGGCUCUCCAUCUGUUUAAGCAUCACAAGUGUGUCCUCUACCUUCACAGCUCCAGGAUUGCAAACAAAUCCCCUCCAAAAAUCAGAGCUACAUGGAGUAUUCUCAUUCUUAUGGCCUGAUUCCUUUUCUUCUAUUGGGUGGCUUUCAUUUUCUUCUUCUACACAGAUUUCACAAGGACCCAUGAUUUUAUUUUGCUAAGUAUUAAAACAUUUUUAGAACUUGGUUAUGCUGGUUUCAGACCUAUGUUUUAAAUGACAGAGAUAUUUAUGCUCCUAAUGUCUUGCUUGCU